GUUAAAAAGCUCGUAGUUGGAUUUCUGCGGUAGCAAGCCGGUCCACACUAUGUGUGAGUAUCUUGCUCGGCUACUGCAUCCUCUUGAGGAACGUGUUGCGCUUAGCUGCGUGAUGCGGUAUUCAAGACUUUUACUUUGAGGAAAUUAGAGUGUUCACGGCAGGCGUUUGCCCUGAAUAUAUUAGCAUGGAAUAAUGAUAUAGGAUCUCCGUCCUAUUUUGUUGGUUUCUAGGACGAGGAUAAUGAUUAAUAGGGAUAAUUGGGGGCAUUCGUAUUAAGACGUCAGAGGUGGAAUUCUUGGAUUGUCUUACGACGAACUACUGCGAAAGCAUUUGCCAAGGAUGUUUUCAUUGAUCAAGAACGAAAGUAAGGGGAUCGAAGACGCUCAGAUACCGUCGUAGUCUUUACCAUAAACUAUGCCAAUUAGAGAUUGGUGGUCGUUCUUUGUAUGACUCCAUCAGCACCUUAUGAGAAAUCAAAAUUUUUGGGUUCCGGGGGGAGUAUGGUCGCAAGGCUGGAACUUAAAGGAAUUGACGGAAGGGCACCACCAGGAGUGGAGCCUGCGGCUUAAUCUGACUCAACACGGGAAAACUCACCAGGUCCAGACAUAGUAAGGAUUGACAGAUUGAUAGCUUUUUCUUGAUUCUAUGGGUGGUGGUGCAUGGCCGUUCUUAGUUGGUGGAGUGAUUUGUCAGGUUAAUUCCGUUAACG
rnacentral:rRNA from 1 species